CACGUAGGGGGCGAGCGUUGUCCGGAUUUAUUGGGCGUAAAGGGCUCGUAGGCGGCUCAGUAAGUCGGGUGUGAAACCUCCAGGCUCAACCUGGAGACGCCACUCGAUACUGCUGUGGCUAGAGUCCGGUAGGGGAGCAUGGAAUUCCUGGUGUAGCGGUGAAAUGCGCAGAUAUCAGGAGGAACACCGGUGGCGAAGGCGGGUCUCUGGGCAACAACUGACGCUGAGGAGCGAAAGCGUGGGGAGCGAACAGG
rnacentral:rRNA from 1 species